rnacentral:misc_RNA from 1 species
GAAAUGCGAUACGCAGUGCGAAUUGCAAAACGUGAGUCAUCAGAUUUUUGAACGCAAAUGGCGACAGCGCAAGCUGUCAUGUUUGUUUCAGUGAACCAGGUUAAUUACAUCACAUAAAAAGAUGCGAUUGAAGUAAUUCUUUCGCUUAGUAUGUAGUAGUUUGGUUUAGACCACUAUUAACCGAAGUAGUCACUAAAAAGUGAUAAUCGUGUUUAUAGAGGCUAAGCCUUAAAAGAACUACUAAAAAACAACUUUUUAUCCACUAACCUGAAACAAGCAAGAUAACCCGCUGAACUUAA